AUUGAACGCUGGCGGCAUGCCUUACACAUGCAAGUCGAACGGCAGCACGGGAGCAAUCCUGGUGGCGAGUGGCGAACGGGUGAGUAAUAUAUCGGAACGUGCCCAGUAGUGGGGGAUAACUGCUCGAAAGAGCAGCUAAUACCGCAUACGACCUGAGGGUGAAAGGGGGGGAUCGCAAGACCUCUCGCUAUUGGAGCGGCCGAUAUCAGAUUAGCUAGUUGGUGGGGUAAAGGCCUACCAAGGCAACGAUCUGUAGUUGGUCUGAGAGGACGACCAGCCACACUGGGACUGAGACACGGCCCAGACUCCUACGGGAGGCAGCCGGGGGGAAUUUUGGACAAUGGGCGCAAGCCUGAUCCAGCAAGGCCGCGUGCAGGAAGAAGGCCUUCGGGUUGUAAACUGCUUUUGUCAGGGAAGAAAUCCUCUAGGUUAAUACCCUUGGGGGGAUGACGGUACCUGAAGAGUAAGCACCGGCUAACUACGUGCCAGCAGCCGCCGUAACAC
rnacentral:rRNA from 1 species